rnacentral:rRNA from 1 species
CGCUUCGUGGUAUUUCGCGUAUUGUAAUUUCAACACGAGCGGGGUCAAAUCCUUUGCAGACGACUUAGCUGUGCGAAACGGUCCUGUAAGCAGUAGAGUAGCCUUGUUGUUACGAUCUGCUGAGGGUAAGCCGUCCUUCGCCUCGAUUU